rnacentral:lncRNA from 1 species
AGAUUUGGGGCAACAACCCUGCUACUUGUAAUCAUAAAAAUUGAACCAGAAGAGAGGAAACUGAAACAAAUAAAUUUAUGCAAACCUUUUUUUUCCUGUGGCAAAACUCUAGCUCUUGAAUCCAAUAUCAAUGAUCUCAAUUAGCUAGCAUAUAAGUAAGUGGCAAGAAUGAAGAAAUUGGAAGAUAUCAAUCGUUCUUUUUCUUCUUCUUCAACGAACAAGUAUUCAAGAAUGACUUACAACAACAAAAACUGGAGCAUCGGUAAAUAUCAAAAAGUAUUAUAGCCAUAUAGCUCUUCUUAAUUUUCAUUCGUGUUCCACAUGAAUAUGACAUAUUAUAACACUAGUCUUUUCAUUUGCUUUCAGCUUUAGAUCGAGCUAAACCUUAUUAGAUCGAGAAAUUGCAAAUUCCAGUUCCUGGUUUGAGUUUGAGCUCGACAUUUUUGUCUAAUGUAUAAUUUCCUCACCUUUCACAAAUACAAAUACAAAUACAAGUUAACUCUGAAAAAUUAAGAAGGCUUGUAGCAUAAGAGGUUUCUGCAUAUGUAACAAUUGAAUCAGGAAACAAUAGAUAUUAGAAUGAUAUACAUAGAGUAUACAGAAGUACAAAACAAUCCUUUUAAGCUUCAAGUCUACCAAACAAUUAGCGUAUUCCCUGAACAAACCAACAACAACUAGAAACCAAGGAAAGCAUGUUCUCCUUCAAAGAAGUUUAAAAGUUUAGAAUGAUUUUCAGUCAUAGGUUGAAGGAUGAAGAAGAACAUGACACAAUUUGCAAGAUUAUAUAUAUUUUGUAAAUAAACUCUAGCUAAUUUUUGAAAUUCCAAAAAUCAAUCUAAAAACGGAUAAAUAUUAUCCGAUUUUUGUACAUGUAGGAAAAUAUCCCUUAGUUUUAUCCUUUUCACCCUUCAAAAACAAACAAAAAUAAUUGUUCUCGUCUAAAAAUAUGUCAAAACUAAGAUAACAACAACAAACAAUGAUAACAAGAUAAUUGUUCGAUUUUUGUACAUGUAGAAAAAUAUCCCUUAGUUUUAUCCUUUUCACCCUUCAAAAACAAACAAAAAUAAUUGUUCUGGUCUAAAAAUAUGUCAAAACUAAGAUAACAACAACAAACAAUGAUAACAAGAUAAUUGUUCGAUUUUUGUACAUGUAGGAAAAUAUCCCUUAGUUUUAUCCUUUUCACCCUUCAAAAACAAACAAAAAUAAUUGUUCUGGUCUGAAAAUAUGUCAAAACUAAGAUAACAACAACUACAAACAAUGACAAAUUCAGUGUAAUCUCAUAAGUGGGGUUUGGAGGUAGUAUGUACAUAUACCUUACCGUUACCAUGUGAAGGUAGAAGGGCUGAUUCUGGUAGAUCAUUGACUCAGUAAAAACAUAGGAAACGUUGUUAAAAAUGUAAAAUCCAAGAUAAGAUUGAAAAACUAAGUAAAUUCAAGAAGAUAAAAAAUAAGAAAGAAACACGUACAUUCACCCCUCUUUGUGCUGAGAAGAGAGAAAGGAAAAAAAAUAAAAAAUGGAAAUGGAGGAAGGAGGGAGAAAAAGAACAAAGGGAAGUGAAGGGAAACUAAAUUGUCAAUUUAGUAAGGUUUGUUAGUUUCAUCAGUAAAAUUACCUGUUAAUUAGUUCCACAAAUAAUAAAAACAUAAAUUCAAGAACAUACUAAGCACUCGAAUCAUUAAGGGUAAAAUUCCUAAACUUUGAGAAAAUUUAAAUAUUGUAACCUCAUUCGUUUAGCACAAUCAAAAUUGCAAUCAGCUCACUUUCCUUCUCUGAUACUCAGACAAGAAAUUCAAUUAAAGUGGGUUGAAUUAUCUACAAAAAGAAUUCAUAAAUAGUCAUGUGGUUUGGGCAUUUCAUAGAUAGGCCUGUGGUUUGUGCAUUACUAAAACCCGGUAACUGAACGAUUAUCGGUAAUAUUGUCUGAAUCGAUUAAUAAAGAGAACAAAUCAGGGCCCAUUUCACUUGAUUUAAUUGGCUAAAUUUAAACCGUCUUUAAUCCGUGCAGGCAAAAGUUGACCACCUAGUGAUUGCCGCCUACUGAAGUACACCCUCCUCUCACUAAGGGGAAAAAACAAGGAGACGAGAAUUACCAUCGGUGAGAUCCUCUUGACUUUUGUUACACGCUCCAAGAGUAGCAAAACGUCCUCUUCGUUCGCAGGAUACUCAGCUAGUCUUUUCACCGAAGAUUAUCACUUUUUAGUUAGGAAAACAACAUGUAUCAAACAGACUAGAAGUGCUAGAAUAAGAAUAUAUUAAAAUCUCGGAAAUAUAAUAUUUCUGUAUUUUCAUACCAAUAAGCUUUUCUAUCUGUAUAUACCACUCCACCUCAUACUGAUUCACUAAUGAUAUAGCAACACUAGAACGUCCUGCUCGUGCAGUUCUUCCCACCCUAUGUAUAUAAUCCUGCAGGCCAUGCAUACAGUGAUAAGCUAAAAUCGCAUCAGAAAACAAAAUUAAGAUUAUUCAGAUUGAAAUGAUGAGUAUGAAGUCAAGUUUGAUUGAUCUUAUUGCAUAAACAAAG